UUUUUUCUUAGAAAUUUUGCUUAAAUAAUUGUCAAAAGGAAUAACACUCUUAAUUUAUUUAUUUUUGAGAUUUUUUUUUACCAAAAUACAAUAAAAAUGAAAAAAAUUAUACUGAUGUUUUAAAAAAUAUAUAUAAUUGCUCGGACAAAACUAGGGUACUACAACUACUAUCCCAAAACGCAUUUUGUAUUAGAGUUUU
rnacentral:lncRNA from 1 species